UAGUAAUGGCAGGUCAGCAUACUGCCGUGAAUACGUUCCCGGGCCUUGUACACACCGCCCGUCACACCAUGAGAGUUGGGAAUACCCGAAGCCUGUGAGCUAACAUUUAUGAGGCAGCAGUCGAAGGUAGAAUCAAUGAUUGGGGUGAAGUCGUAACAAGGUAUC
rnacentral:rRNA from 1 species